rnacentral:rRNA from 1 species
UACGUAGGGGGCAAGCGUUGUCCGGAUUUACUGGGCGUAAAGAGCGCGCAGGCGGUCGUUCAAGUCGAGUGUGAAAGCCCCCGGCUCAACUGGGGAGGGUCAUUCGAUACUGAUCGACUUGAAGGCAGGAGAGGGAAGCGGAAUUCCCGGUGUAGUGGUGAAAUGCGUAGAUAUCGGGAGGAACACCAGUGGCGAAGGCGGCUUCCUGGCCUGUUCUUGACGCUGAGGCGCGAAAGCUAGGGGAGCAAACGGG